UGGUGGGGUUGUAUGGUGGUGUGUAGAUGGGGUGGUAUGGUGGUGUGGAGAUGGGGUAAGGUGGGGUUGUAUGGUGGUGUGUAGAUGGGGUAAGGUGGGGUUGUAUGGUGGUGUGUAGGUGGGGUUGUAUGGUGGUGUGUAGAUGUGGUAAGGUGGGGUGGUAUGGUGGGGUUGUAUGGUGUUGUGUAGAUGUGGUAAGAUGGGGUGGUAUGGUGGUGUGGAGAUGGGGUAAGGUGGGGUGUAGGUGGGGUUGUAUGGUGGUGUGUAGAUGUGGUAUGGUGGGGUGUAGGUGGGGUUGUAUGGUGGUGUGUAGGUGGGGUUGCAUGGUGGUGUGUAGGUGGGGUGGUAUGGUGGUGUGGAGAUGGGGUAAGGUGGGGUUGUAUGGUGGUGUGUAGGUGGGGUUGUAUGGUGGUGUGUAGAUGGGCUAAGGUGGGGUGGUAUGGUGGUGUGUAGAUGGGGUAAGGUGGGGUUGUGUCAGCGGGGUAAUAAGGGGUAGUGUCAGCAGGGUAAUAAGGGGUAAUAAGGGGUGGUGUCAGCAGGGUAAUAAGGGGUAGUGUGUCAGCAGGGUAAUAAGGGGUAAUAAGGGGUAGUGUUAGCAGGGUAAUAAAGGGUAGUGUGUCAGCAGGGUAAUAAGGGUAGUGUGUCAGCAGGGUAAUAAGGGGUAGUGUGUCAGCAGGGUAAUAAGGGGUAGUGUGUCAGUGGGGUAAUAAGGGGUAAAAGGGGUAGUGUGUCAGCAGGGGUAAUAAGGGUAGUGUGUCAGCAGGGUAAUAAGGGGUAGUGUGUCAGCAGGGUAAUAAGGGGUAGUGUCAGCAGGGUAAUAAGGGGUAGUGUGUCAGCAGGGUAAUAAGGGGUAGUGUGUCAGCAGGGUAAUAAGGGGUAGUUGUGUCAGCAGGGUAAUAAGGGGUAGUGUUUCAGCAGGGUAAUAAGGGGUAGAGUGUCAGCAGGGUAAUAAGGGGUAGUGUGUCAGCAGGGUAAUAAGGGGUAAUAAGGGGUAGUGUGUCAGUAGGGUAAUAAGGGGUAGUGUGUCAGCAGGGUAAUAAGGGGUAGUGUGUCAGCAGGGUAAUAAGGGGUAGUGUGUCAGCAGGGUAAUAAGGGGUAAUAAGGGGUAGUGUGUCAACAGGGUAAUAAGGGGUAGUGUGUCAGCAGGGUAAUAAGGGGUAGUGUAUCAGCAGGGUAAUAAGGGGUAGUAAGGGGUAGUGUCAGCAGGGUAAUAAGGGGUAGUGUGUCAGCAGGGUAAUAAGGGGUAGUGUGUCAGCAGGGUAAUAAGGGGUAGUGUGUCAGUGGGGUAAUAAGGGGUAAAAGGGGUAGUGUGUCAGCAGGGUAAUAAGGGGUAGUGUGUCAGCAGGGUAAUAAGGGGUAGUGUGUCAGCAGGGUAAUAAGGGGAGUGUGUCAGCAGGGUAAUAAGGGGUAGUGUGUCAGCAGGGUAAUAAGGGGUAGUGUGUCAGCAGGGUAAUAAGGGGUAGUGUGUCAGUGGGUAAUAAGGGGUAAAAGGGGUAGUGUGUCAGCAGGGUAAUAAGGGGUAGUGUGUCAGCAGGGUAAUAAGGGGUAGUGUGUCAGCAGGGUAAUAAGGGGUAGUGUGUCAGCAGG
ensembl:lncRNA